AUCCUUCUUCUUAGAUUGAAGAGGUGCAGUCUUUUUAUAGAAGCACUGGGGAGACAAAUGGUUGGUCCGACCACACAUAUAACAGAAACGAGCACCACCUUCCUCUUUCUUCUUCUUCUGCUCAUGGGAUUGAAUAGGUUUCCCAUUGUAGUGGUGGUUAGGGUUUCUAGGGUUGUAGGGUUUCUUUUUGAAGUUCUUAUGGAAGGGUCGGUUCUAAUUUUUCUUAGGAGGGGCCUCCACAUUAUAUGCAUUAUUCUUGGGUCCAGUAGAGGUAUUACUCGUGAGCCUGUUCUGCUCUUCAAUUCUAAUGGAGUCUAAGACUUGGGUUAGGGUGAGAACUCCUUGGGUAUGGCUCAGGGUCUUAGCAAAAUCAGACUAGAAAGUAGGUAGUUUAUCUAUCAGACAGGCUACCUGGAAUGAUUCAUCCAAAUUGGUUCCAUUAGCCCUAAGCUGGUGGAUCAGGGUUUCAAAAUCAUGGAUUUGGUCAUUCAUAGGCUUUGAGUGCACCAUCCUAAAAUUAUUGAAGUCGGAGGCCUCGAACCUCUUUACCCCAGCAUCAUCAAGACCAUAUUUGCUAUCUAGGAUGUCCCAGAGUUCUUUGGCACUCUUGGCUGUGUAAUAGAUAUCAUACAGCCUCUCAGAAAGAGCACCUAGGAUUCUAUGGAUACAAUGAUAAUCUAUCUCAUCAGGUGUCCUAGAGGGUGUGCUAGUGGAGGCAGAAGGUUCAGUGUUGGAAGAGGUUGAGUUUUGAUGAGUAGCAUAUCGUGAAGUAGUUGGGUUGGACCCGUUAUCAACUUCAGUAGUACUUUCACCUAUAGCUGAGAUCAACCCCAAUGUGGUGAGCCAGAACCGCACUUGGUUCUGUCACCUUCUAAAGUUAUGGCCAUCAAAUUUUUCAGGUUUGGCGCUAAGGUGGUCACUAGUAUUUGAGGCCAUAGGAUCAGACAAAAAAAAUCUGAAUGAAGGCAAAAAAUCUAUGUCAAAAGAUUGCACUAAUAUUUAUAUUGAACUUUGGAUAUUUAAUUGAUAUAUCCAAAAAACUAAUAGCCAGAUCAACUUCAGAUUGGUGGUGGAGUACUAGGCUCACUUAAGUACCAGCCUUUUUUAGGCACGUAUGCCUUUUUGACAAGCUUUUCUUUGAUACUAUUAGUUAGUGGAUAUAGUCACUAGAAAUCACACAGAUUCAAUUUUUAGAAAAAUCUAAGUGCAAACUUAAAUUUGUUAUUAUGGAUUAACUAAUUUUUGAAUUUUUCGUUUGAAUUUUUUGAAUUAGUAACAAUUGAUUACUAAAUUUAAUACUAGCAAUUAUUGUAAUUGAAAUCUAAUUUGUCAAUUCAAUGAAUUAUAUAUAUUAGAAUUGAUUUAUUUCCUUAUUAGAAUAAUUGAUUACUAAUUUAGUGCCAACAAAUUAAUUAUUGUAAUUGAGAUCUAAAAUGUCAAUGCUAUGAAUUAAAUUGUUAUGUAUUAACCAAUUUUCAAAUUUUUCGUUUGAAUGGGAUAUGAAAAUUACUCUUUGAGAAGUCCAAAUGGAGGUAUAAUAAACCUCUUGGAGGUUAAGCAAAUUAUUACCUUUUUAGAAUAAUUGAUAAUUAAUUUUUAUGAUAGCAAAAUAAUUAUUUUAAUUAAAAUCUAAUAUGUCACAAUUGUAAUAAAGGAUUUAAUGAAUUAUAUAUUACUAACAAAAAAUAAAUAAAUACUUUUUUGGAUUGUUAGCAAUAUAUUAUCCAAAUAAACAAAUAAAUCUAUAAAUGCAAUUAAUAGAAACUUUUAAAAGGAAUAAUAUAUAUAUCAUCCGGAAUCCAAAUAAUUCUAUUUUAAUGCAAAAUAAAUCUAUGCUAGCACAAAAUAAAUCUAUGCAUUUAAUAAAUUUAUAUCAUAAAAUUUCAAAUCCUAUAGAUCUACUAAUAUUAAAUUAAAAAUAAAGGUAAAAGAAAGUAGCCUGAUUGAAGGCAGGUCGAAGCGCGUAGAUGCUGUCCCAAAGAAGUAUUUGCCCCCACGUACGGGUCUUCCGGCAAUCCUCCUCUGAGAUACGAUAAUCCUACAACUUCUUCUUCGGCACGUCUCAGAAGAAGUCAAAGCGAACCCGAUCGGACUUGCAGAUCCAGCGAAGAACGAAAGUAAAAGAAUAAAAUAAAACAAAAAAAGAGCAAGAAUAAAAAUCACAAGUGGCUAGGAGGAGGAAGAACUUUUCUCCAGAAUUUCUCCAAUAUUUUUUCUAAUUUUUCGUGUUUAGAAAUAGAUGAAAUUGAGGGGUAUAUAUAGGGGUAUGUGAUCAGGGGCAAAAUGGUAAUUUUGUGGACGCGUCCGUGGUAAUCAAGCUGCUAGCGAAACGUCAACGGGCGUUUCGCUGAUUUUAAACGCGCAAAUCCGCUGGUGUUUCCUUGUUCUCAAACGCGCACAUGCAUGACCGUCCAAUUAGAGCCACGAGGCGUGUGGUCCCCAGCUCAAAUCCAAAUAAUCCGAUUUUAAACGCGUAAACCCGCUGGCGUUUCCUUUUUCUCAAACGCGCAUGCGGCCCGAGAUUUGGCCGUGUGCGCAUUUAAGUUUUUCCCAACAGGUUUAACAUUUGAUAGUUCCUAUCUCUGUGGUAAUGCAAAGACUUGAACUUCUCCUACCCAGCCCAAGAAUUAAGCAUGCAACUCAAAUUACUGGAACUGUCUUUGACCAGAUUGUUGUC
rnacentral:lncRNA from 1 species